rnacentral:rRNA from 1 species
GGGGGACAACGUCUCGAAAGGGACGCUAAUACCGCAUACGCCCUACGGGGGAAAGGGGGGGAUCUUCGGACCUCUCGCUAUCAGAUGAGCCCAUGUCAGAUUAGCUAGUUGGUAGGGUAAAGGCCUACCAAGGCGACGAUCUGUAACUGGUCUGAGAGGAUGAUCAGUCACACUGGAACUGAGACACGGUCCAGACUCCUACGGGAGGCAGCAGUGGGGAAUAUUGGACAAGGGGCGCAAGCCUGAUCCGGCCAUGCCGCGUGUGUGAAGAAGGCCCUAGGGUUGUAAAGCACUUUCAGUGGGGAGAAAAGUGAUUCACCUAAUACGUGAGUCAAUUGAUGUUACCCACAGAAGAAGCACCGGCUAACUCCGUGCCAGCAGCCGCGGUAAUACGGAGGGUGCAAGCGUUAAUCGGAAUUACUGGGCGUAAAGCGCACG